rnacentral:rRNA from 1 species
CGAUAGUCGACGAGUUUGAUCCUGGCUCAAGAACGAACGCUGGCGGCAUGCCUAACACAUGCAAGUCGAACGAAGGCUUCGGCCUUAGUGGCGCACGGGUGCGUAACGCGUGGGAACCUGCCCCUCGGUUCGGAAUAACAGUUAGAAAUGACUGCUAAUACCGGAUGAUGACUUCGGUCCAAAGAUUUAUCGCCGAGGGAUGGGCCCGCGUAGGAUUAGCUAGUUGGUGGGUAAAGGCCUACCAAGGCGACGAUCCUUAGCUGGUCUGANAGGAUGAUCAGCCACACUGGGACUGAGACACGGCCCAGACUCCUGCGGGAGGCAGCAGUGGGGAAUAUUGGACAAUGGGCGAAAGCCUGAUCCAGCAAUGCCGCGUGAGUGAUGAAGGCCUUAGGGUUGUAAAGCUCUUUUACCAGGGAUGAUAAUGACAGUACCUGGAGAAUAAGCUCCGGCUAACUCCGUG